rnacentral:rRNA from 1 species
GCAGGCUUAACACAUGCAAGUCGAGGGGUAACAUUGUAGCUUGCUACAGAUGACGACCGGCGCACGGGUGCGUAACGCGUAUAGAACCUACCUUUUACAGAGGGAUAGCCUUUAGAAAUGAAGAUUAAUACCUUAUAGUAUUGAGACUUGGCAUCGAGUUUUAAUUAAAGAUUUAUCGGUAAAGGAUGGCUAUGCGUCCUAUUAGUUAGUUGGUAAGGUAACGGCUUACCAAGACUUCGAUAGGUAGGGGCCCUGAGAGGGGGAUCCCCCACACUGGUACUGAGACACGGACCAGACUCCUACGGGAGGCAGCAGUGAGGAAUAUUGGGCAAUGGAGGCAACUCUGACCCAGCCAUGCCGCGUGCAGGAAGACUGCCCUAUGGGUUGUAAACUGCUUUUAUACAGGAAGAAACACUGCUACGUGUAGCAGCUUGACGGUACUGUAAGAAUAAGGACCGGCUAACUCCGUGCCAGCAGCCGCGGUAAUACGGAGGGUCCGAGCGUUAUCCGGAAUCAUUGGGUUUAAAGGGUCCGCAGGCGGUCAAUUAAGUCAGAGGUGAAAUACCAUAGCUCAACUAUGGAACUGCCUUUGAUACUGGUUGACUUGGGUCAUAUGGAAGUAGAUAGAAUGUGUAGUGUAGCGGUGAAAUGCAUAGAUAUUACACAGAAUACCGAUUGCGAAGGCAGUCUACUACGUAUGUACUGACGCUGAGGGACGAAAGCGUGGGGAGCGAACAGGAUUAGAUACCCUGGUAGUCCACGCCGUAAACGAUGGAUACUAGUUGUUGGGCAUUAGCUCAGUGACUAAGCGAAAGUGAUAAGUAUCCCACCUGGGGAGUACGGUCGCAAGACUGAAACUCAAAGGAAUUGACGG